CCACCACACCCAGCUAAUUUUUAAAUUUUGGGUAGAGACGGGGUUUUGCCAUGUUGCACAGGCUGAUCUUAAACUCCUUGAGCUCAAGAAAUCCACCUGCCUUGGCCUCCCAAAGUGCUGGGAUUUUACAGGCUUGAACCAUCACACCCAGCCUCCUUUAUAAAUUAAAUUAAAUUCAUUAUGAAUUAAAGUUUCCAAAGUGCCAAACCAUUUUCCAAGGGUCACCUUAUUUUAAAUUGGCAGAAACAGAAUUUAAUCUCACAGUUUCAAAAUGUUUAUCUGAGAUUUGCUUGCUAAUCCAUCCCCAUCCUAUAAUUCCACCAUGAAGCUCCCUGCAAAACAAGAACUAUCAUCUACUAAGCCCUUUCUUUGUACCAGGCACUGUGUUAGGCACUUGACCUGAAUUAUAUCACUUAAUCCUUACAAUUCAAAGAUGUGUUAUUAUCCACUUUACAAAUGAGGAACCUGAGGCUCAGGGACAUUAAGUGACUUGCUCAACAUCACUCAGUUAGUAGAUUUAACUAGAGAUCAAGUCACUUCCAUCUAACACAAAGUGAAUCCAUUUUCUUGUCCACUGCUAUCUUGCCGCUCUGCAAAGACUGCCCCCAAAGCGUCUCCAAAUCUGUAAACUUUUAAGUAUAGUAAGUUCUUACUUAACCUCGUCAAUAGAUUCUUGGAAACUACAACUUUAAGCGAAAUGAUGAACUGCAGGUCUUCAAAUAACAUCAUUUUGUUAUAACAUUAAUGAGAACAAAAUGGUUUUGUUAUACCUCAUUUUGCUUAAAGUUGCAGUUUUCAAGAACCUAUUGACGACACCAAGUGCGGACUUUCUAUAGUCCGUUCUCAUCCACUACAGUCCUCCACUCUACCAACUGAGCUAUCAAAGGCAUCACUUGUACUCCUUCCUUCACUUGUACACCUUUCUUUCAAAGGCAGUGAGGAUAAUUCAAAGGAAUCUCAGGAAAAACAAGAAAUCAAUUUUCUCAAUUACUCCCCCCCUGACAAUACUGACUCGUGGUUUAGAAAAAUUCUAGAUCCUGAUUUCAGACUGCACAAUACAUCACAAAUUCUAGGGCUAAAUUGCCUAGCUUGAAGUUUGACUCCUCCCUUACUAGCUAAAUUACUUUCAAUUAUUUACAUCCUCUGGGCCUCAGUUUCCUCAUUCGGAAAUUGGUUAAUAAAAUACAUUUCACAGAUGAGGCUUAAAUAGCUAUCUGUAAAGUACUUACAACAACAUCUGGUAAGUGCUCAGUAAAUACCAACCCUUCCUAUUUUUGUCUGAAACAAAAGAGAGAAAGAGGUUUAAUAAUGGGAACUAUGAAAGAGGAUCACCAACUUGGGAAAAAAAACGUAAGGAUGUCUACUUCAAUUAAGUGUAACAAUUAAGACUUUUUAAAGACCCUGUGUAGGCCGGGUGUAGUGGUUCACACCUGUAAUUCCAGCACUUUCGGAGGCCGAGGCGGGCAGAUCACUUGAGGCCAGGAGUUCAAGACCAGCCUGGCCAACAUGACGAAACCCCACCUCUACUAAAAAAAAGAAACAAACAAAACAGAAAUUAGCAGGGUGUGGUGGUGCACACCUGUAAUCCCAGUUACUGGGGAGGCUGAGGCAUGAGAAUUGUUUGAACCUGGGAGGUGGAGUUUGCAGUGAGCUGAAAUCACGCCACUGCACUCCAGCCUGGGUGACAGAGCAAGAUACUGUGUUAAAAAAAAAAAAGAAAAAAAAAAAGACUGGACGCGGUGGCUCACGCCUGUAAUCCCAGCACUUUGGGAGGCCGAGGCGGAUGGAUCACGGGGUCAGGAGAUCGAGACCAUCCUGGCUAGCGUGGCGAAACCCUGUCUCUACUAAAAAAAAAAUACAACAAAAAUUAACUGGGCGUGGUGGCGAGUGCCAGUAGUCCCAGCUACUGGGAAGGCUGAGGCAGGAGAAUGGCUUGAACCCAGGAGGCAGAGCUUGCAGUGAGCCAAGAUUGCGCCACUACAUUCCAGCUGGGCAACAGAGCAAGACUCCAUCUCAAAAAAAAAAAAAAAAACCGUGUAAAUAUUUCAGUUUGGAUUUGGUUUCUGUUGGGUUCUUUUGGGUAAUAUGACUUCCCUGGCUACAUAAUGAGACUUUAUAGGAAAGCGGGAAUACCUACCUUAAUAGUUUGUGUACAGAUUUCAUUUAAAAGCCAGGCCCCACACUCCUGCCCCUUUUCAGUAAAAUCGAAAUGCCUGAGUGCGGUGACUCAUUUCUGUAAUCCCAGCACUUUGGGGGCUGAGGUGGGAAGAUCAUUUGAGCCCAGGGAUUCGAGACCAGCCUGAGCAACACAGGGGAACCCCGUAUCCACAAAAGAAAAAAUAUUUUAAUUAGCUGGGGGUGGUGGCAUGUGUCUGUGGUCCCAGCUACUUGGGAGGCUGAGGUGGGAGGAUAGCUUGAGCCCAGGAUGCGGAGGCUGCAGUGACAGCACCACUAUAGCACCAAUGUACUCCGGCCUGGGUGACAGAGCAUGACAGUCUCAAAAAAAAAAAAAUGCAAAACCUAAAACCCUCAAUCUUGCUUCUUUUCUAUUAGAUGCUUCAUGAAAUUCAGCAUUUUAUCUCAAUACGAAAUUCAGCAUUUUAUCUCAAUAUCCCAAACUUUUCAGCUAUUUUAUGUUAUCCUCUGUCCUUAACAGCUCAGACUAUACUUCAGGGUAGAACUCCCCUUUAGGAAAUAAUGGCCCGCAUCUUCAAUUGAGAGGUAUCUCAACUGAGUAAACAUUGUACUUGACAGAUAACUUAGCCACAGUACACUCUACUGCAUGAAAGCCUCAGCUUCUGUUUACCUGUCUUUGAACUUGUUUUAUAUUUAAAGCAUCUGUUAGUAAAGCAAGAUGUCAAAGGAGAUCAACUCUACCACACACUGGGAGCAAUGAGUGGAGAAGACACAAUUGGUGGGUCCACUUGGAAGGAUCAAGGACCCUAGGUUUUGCUCUUCAAGUUUUUCCUCUUCGUAUGAUUUUUGCUCUGCAUGUCAUCAGCACAUUCAUCUUUUGGGGGCCUUCCACGUGCUUAAAGCUGCAUGCGAAAAUGAUUUUCUUGUUAUCGGAGGAGAUUAUACAUCUGGAACUGGCGUAUCCAUUCACCACGGGCCUGAGGAUGGAGCUGACCCAUGGAGAAGCACAGAGUGAGCUGGAAGAGGCACAGGGAAACGGAGCCAGAGUCAAAGAUGAACAUAACUGAAAAUCUGUCCUACGUCUGGGCUUCUGGUCAUGGGGGCCAAUGGAUUUCUUUAUUAUUUAAGGCAGUGGUCCCAAUCUUUUUGGCACCAGGGACCAGUUUCAUGGAAGACAAUUUUUCCAAGGACAGAGGGAUGGAGAGGGUGAGAUGGAUUCGGGAUGAAACUGUUCCACAUCAGAUCAUCAGGCAUUAGAUUCUCAUGAGGAGCACACAAUCUACAUCCCUCACAUGCGCAGUUCACAAUAUGCUUCUCACUUCUAUGGGAAUCUAAUGUUGCAGCUGAUAUGACAGGAGGCGGAGCUCACUGGUAAUGCUCGCUCACCCGCCACUCACCUCCUGCUGUGUGGCCCGUUUCCUAACAGGCCACGGAUUGGUACUGUUCCAUGGCCUGGGGGUUGGGGACCCCUUAUUUAAGGUAAUUUGACUUGGGUUUCCUUGUACUUGCAGACAAAAUGAGCUGAUAUGCCUAUACCAACAGCUCUUCCCAUAAGAAGAUCCAUGGUUGGCACCAACUUUUUCUCCAAGACGAUAGUGACAUGCAAUGCCACAGACAUUCCAUGGCAUGUGCAGGAACUGUGCUUUUGUUUCUCAGUGAAGACACUAGGUGCUUUUGGACACUUUCUCCUCUCUCUUUGCCCUUGUAUUUGCAGUGUCCCUUCCCCAUUCCCACCUAGUUUAGCUUAAACUACCAUAUGUGAAAUGUCAAGUAGGCAUGGGAAAGUUUCUCCAAGUAUGAGUGUUUCUGUAAGUCAAUUUUCAGUCACAAAACAUUUUUUUUUAGUAGAAGUAUCUUUUUUUUUUUUUUUUGAGAUGGAGUCUUGCUCUGUCGCCCGGGCUAGAGUGCAGUGGCCCGAUCUCGGCUCACUGCAAGCUCUGCCUCCUGGGUUCACGCCAUUCCCCUGCCUCAGCCUCCUGAGUAGCUGGGACUACAGGCACCCGCC
rnacentral:lncRNA from 10 species